UAAGUAAAUUAAACAAAACUUUCAACAACGGAUCUCUUGGUUCUGGCAUCGAUGAAGAACGCAGCGAAAUGCGAUAAGUAAUGUGAAUUGCAGAAUUCAGUGAAUCAUCGAAUCUUUGAACGCACAUUGCGCCCCUUGGUAUUCCGAGGGGCAUGCCUGUUCGAGCGUCAUUUCACCACUCA
rnacentral:rRNA from 1 species